GCCAGGAUACUCAAGCGGUAUGAGGCUAGAUUGGAAAUCUAGUGCCUAUUCGGUUCCGGGGUUCAAAUCCCCGUCCUGGCU
rnacentral:tRNA from 1 species